UUCUAACAGACGAUGGUGUCUCAAAGAGGU
rnacentral:piRNA from 1 species